CCUACGGGAGGCAGCAGUGGGGGAUAUUGCACAAUGGGGGAAACCCUGAUGCAGCGACGCCGCGUGUGGGAAGACGGUCCUCUGGAUUGUAAACCACUGUCCCCAGGGACGAAGAUGACGGUACCUGGGGAGGAAGCUCCGGCUAACUACGUGCCAGCAGCCGCGGUAAUACGUAGGGAGCGAGCGUUGUCCGGAAUUACUGGGUGGAAAGGGAGCGUAGGCGGGGAUGCAAGUUGGGUGUCAAAACUACCGGCUCAACUGGUAGUCGCACUCAAAACUGCAGCUCUUGAGUGAAGUAGAGGCAGGCGGAAUUCCUAGUGUAGCGGUGAAAUGCGUAGAUAUUAGGAGGAACACCAGUGGCGAAGGCGGUCUGCUGGACAGCAACUGACGCUGAGGCGCGAAAGCGUGGGGAGCAAACAGGAUUAGAUACCCUGGUAGUC
rnacentral:rRNA from 1 species